GAUUUUUUUUUGUAUCUAAAAAGGACGGUGAGUUGCGCCCAUGUAUCGAUUACAGGGCAUUGAACAAAAUCACCAUUAAGAACGCCUACCCCAUUCCUCUUAUUGCUGAAUUAUUUGAUAGACUCCAAGGUGCUAAAGUAUUUACUAAGCUUGAUCUUAGAAGUGCUUACAAUUUAGUGAGAAUCAAGGAAAACCACGAGUGGAAGACUGCAUUUAAUACCAGAAGUGGACACUAUGAAUAUCUAGUGAUGCCAUUCGGGUUGUGCAAUGCUCCAGCGGUUUUCCAAGAUUUCAUAAAUGAUAUACUCAGGGAUUACAUUUACUUGUUUGUCUUGGUCUAUCUGGAUGAUAUCCUUAUUUAUUCUCCUGACAUUCAAACUCACCAUGAUCACGUUAGACAAGUUCUGCAGACCUUGUAAAAGAAUCAACUUUAUUGUAAAUUAGAAAAAUGCAUCUUUGACCAAUCUGAAGUACAGUAUUUUGGGAUAUAAUAUCUCUGCCUCGGUGUUUCAGAUGGAUCGUAAAAAGCUGGAAUCGGUUCUACAAUGGCCUUUACCCACUGGGUUGACGCCUUAUCCAGACAAUUUGAUACAGAGUCUAUACAAGAGCAAGAAAAGUCCCAUAUCAUUCCCCCAGAAUGUAUAAUUGCCACCACUAUCCUUUCAUUGUCCUCUCCGCUGCUUGGCUCCAUCAUGGAGGCUCAGUCUCAGGCGC